ensembl:lncRNA
CAUUUAAGGGUUGGCAGUGGAGGUGAGGAUGUCUCAUUUGGAGUCCCCUGCAUACCUGAGGACUUUGUAGGUCUUCUGAAGUGCAGCAUAUUCCAAAAGGACAAAACCAGCACAUGAUGAGACCAGACAUGAAGCUUCCCAUUCCAAGAGAUCUCAGCCAUUUCUCUCAGGCUCCUCACAGCUUUAACAGUGGUUAAGCCCACACAAAAGGAGAGAAGAGCUGAAGAAAUGAAGAUACCCAAAUGGUCUUUGCAAGUGGCAGCUGGGGACAAUUUGUUCUGAAUUGGGGGGAGGUGAUGGGCAGGUGUUUUUAAAUGCUGAUUGAAAUGCACACCUUUUUUCUGCAAAGGGCCUGAGAGUGGCUGGUAGAUGUCCUAGGCUGGUUUUAGCAUAUCUUUGUUUCCUUCCUCAUGAGGGAUUGCUCGCUCUGUCUAGCUCAGAGGCUGCUGUCCCACAAUAAGUAGCCUGUAGGAGAAAAUCUCCAGGAAUCCUGCUGCACUGCAGUCUCACCUGUCUCAGGGUCUGGUAUCACCUUGCUGGGGACCAAGCAUCCCCUUACCAGCUCUUCUUUUUGUCCUUCCUGAUGGUGCCAUACUAUGGAAUGCUGACUUCAUUCAUAUGUAAGUAAAUGAGGAAGUUCUUCCUUCUUUGCCCCUGGAAAUAAUCAAAAUGGAUGGGGAGUCUAUUGCUGUGGGGGGACUCAAGUCACAUCUGACACAAAGUUAUUUGAGGUGAACCAAGAAUGCAAGGACUUGGUUAUCUUAAUGUUUGGUCCUGAGCAAGCUGGCAUCUCUGGGUGUCACUUUCUGGGUAUGAUUUCUUCACAGUUUUCAAUCCCUGGUUAAAAAAAAAAAUGCAUCCGUAAAGACAUCACGCACUUGUCUACUAAAGAAAGCUGGCAAAGGAAAGAUAAAAAGCAUAUAUAUUCCUUUCACUAGGCUUCUAGGGAAUAAGUACAGAGCUCUAUCUUCCUCUUCAGCACUGCGUGAAAAACAGAAUGCAAAAUUUCCUCCUUGAAAUACUUUGGCACAAACAACUAUUCUGCACUAUUUGUUUAGAAAUCCAGUGGGGCUUUGCUGAAUGAAAGCAAGUGUCUUCAUACUGGUAGUUGAAAUAAGAACUAAUUUCAUGCACAAUUGACAGUGCAGAAGGAACUUCCUUGAAAUCCAAAGAGCAAAAGAUUUUAUGGGGCUGUGUAUGUAUUUAUGAUUAUUUAAGAUUCUUGUUAUAAUGAGGAUCCUUUAAGGAGAGGAAUUUUGUCUUUUAAUUUGCAUAAAGACAAUAAAAACUCUUC